GCCUCUAUAGUGUAGUGGUAAGCACACUGGUCUGCAUAUAUCCCCAUAUCAACAAAUGCUAGCCGGUUGUGUGGGUUCAAAUCCCAUUAGAGGUA